rnacentral:rRNA from 1 species
CUACCGAGAAGUGGGGGAUAGCUCGCCGAAAGGCGAAUUAAUACCGCAUAUGAUCAGCUAAGACAUCUUAGCGACAUCAAAGCCGGGGCAACCUGGCGCUUUUUGACGAGCCCGCGGCCUAUCAGCUAGUUGGUGAGGUAACGGCUCACCAAGGCUAUGACGGGUAGCUGGUCUGAGAGGACGACCAGUCACACUGGAACUGAGACACGGUCCAG